rnacentral:rRNA from 1 species
GACGAACGCUGGCGGCGUGCCUAAUACAUGCAAGUUGAGCGAUGAAGAUUGGUGCUUGCCCCAAUUUGAAGAGCAGCGAACGGGUGAGUAACGCGUGGGGAAUCUGCCUUUGAGCGGGGGACAACAUUUGAAAACGAAUGCUAAUACCGCAUAACAACUUUAAACAUAAGUUUUAAGUUUGAAAGAUGCAAUUGCAUCACUCAAAGAUGAUCCCGCGUUGUAUUAGCUAGUUGGUGAGGUAAAGGCUCACCAAGGCGAUGAUACAUAGCCGACCUGAGAGGGUGAUCGGCCACAUUGGGACUGAGACACGGCCCAAACUCCUACGGGAGGCAGCAGUAGGGAAUCUUCGGCAAUGGACGAAAGUCUGACCGAGCAACGCCGCGUGAGUGAAGAAGGGUGUCGGAUCGUAAAACUCUGUUGGUAGAGAAGAACGUUGGUGAGAGUGGAAAGCUCAUCAAGUGACGGUAACUACCCAGAAAGGGACGGCUAACUACGUG